CAUGCAGUACACGUAAACUUGUAGCAACAUUACUGCAACGUUUGCAAUGUUAUUACAAUAUUUCUGGAACGUUGUAACAUUGUUGCAAUA